rnacentral:tRNA from 1 species
GGCAUGGUACGCAAACCGGCAAAGCGGCCAGGUCGAGAGCCUGGUGCCUGUGGGUUCGACUCCCACCCGUGCCA